rnacentral:rRNA from 1 species
AUGGUAGCUGCUGGAGUUUUGGUCGAGGGUCGAGAGAUUCGUCUCGGUGCUCUCACCUUUGUCGCCGACGACUCCGCCUGGUUCCAGGAGGCUCCACUCGACGUCGAUGCGCUCCCCGUCCGCGGUGCGACGCAUUUUCGCGCAUGUGUCCGCGGCGUUCUGCUGCAGCAACCGUCGACCCCAUAUCGGUCGACUCCCCUAUCGACCGCCCUCCCGGUCUCCCGCCAGCGCAAGCGCUCGGGUCGGUCGAGGCUUCAGCGGUGGGUGAGACACGCGGUGGCUCGCCAGACGGCCACCACCCAAGUUGCGGCAAUCGAGCCCGAUGAAUCUCUCUACGGCCUGUUCGAUCUGUCGACUGGCUUCAUAGAGACUGCAUCCGAAUGCGAUAGCAGUGAUCUAGCGGCGGAAAUCCUGAUGGUCGACGGGCCUCGCAGCCCCCCUGGCUUCGCCCGUGAUGGUGGGGCAGGCGACGGAGGCGACCCUGCACGAGACCACGAAGAGUACUAG